GAUGAAGAACGCAGCGAAAUGCGAUAAGUAAUGUGAAUUGCAGAAUUCAGUGAAUCAUCGAAUCUUUGAACGCACAUUGCGCCCCUUGGUAUUCCGAGGGGCAUGCCUGUUCGAGCGUCAUUAUAACCCCUCAAGCUCAGCUUGGUGUUGGGGCCUGCUGCACUGGCAGCCCUUAAAAUCAGUGGCGGCGCCAUCUGGCUCUAAGCGUAGUAAUUCUUCUCGCUAUGGAGUCCUGGUGGAUGCUUGCCAUCAACCCCCAAUUUUUCUAUGGUUGACCUCGGAUCAGGUAGGGAUACCCGCUGAACUUAAGAAUAUCAAUAAGCGGAGGA
rnacentral:misc_RNA from 1 species